rnacentral:lncRNA from 1 species
CUGAGGGACAGCAGAACCCUCACUGCUGUGCCUCACCAAUUCUCUUUGCUUCUCCAUCCAAGCCCUCUAGCUGCCCAGGUCCGGGGAAGGAAUCAAAGCUCCACUGUCCACUUUUCCCUUUCCUGUCCGUGGCCUGAAAUCCCACUCUAUCAUUCUCCGAUAGACUGCCCUUGAAGACAGCAGCCAAGCCUCACCCGCCCACUCCUGCACCUUGAACACAGCACCUCAGAGAAUCUCUUUUGGAGCCUGGGCCUGAGAUGGAGUAGGUAACCCCGGCGGUAACGUCCUGAACCAAUCCUGCCUGCCGGCCGCAAAGGUGGAAAGCUGGAGGAGGGGCCGUCCUGGACUGUCUGAGGGUGCAGAUGAACGCCUGCCCUGGACCCCACUCUGGGAGAGACUCCCCAGUUCCUGGCAGGGAGCAGAGCUGCCCUGAGGGGAAGCAAGUCAGGAGUGCGAUCCGCAGAGAUUAGAAAUUGGAAGCACUCGGAGGGGCACCGCGGAGCUGCAGGAGACCCAUAAACUCAAGAUCCGAGGACACAGCCGGGGAAGCCAGGGACAAAUAGGGAAGGAAGCAGCAGCGCUUGGGAGAGAGUUGGAGCGCCUGGAGGGGCAAACUGCCCUUGCGGAUGAGGGGGCCAGGGCGGGACAGAGCAAAGGCAGGCAGCGCACUGUGUUCGAGGCCCUGAGCAGGAGCCCAGGGCACACAGUGGCUGAACCGGUGCCUCUGCCUCUACAGAUGCCCGCGCCGUCGCGGCGCAUCCUCCUGCCCAGCUCUCCAGACAACGCACGGAGCACCGAGGAGACUCAUUCGUGGCACAGCCAGGAUCUCGCGAGGAAGUGUGGGUGGAGGGUGAGGAGAGAACUCGUGCAGAGCAUGGGUGUGUGAACGAGUGCUGUGUGAGUGCAUGUGUGUGUAAAUGUGUGGGAGUGUGCCUGAGUCAGAUUGUGCGCCCACGCGUGCGUAUAUAUGGGUGUACACGCCCUGGUUUCCACCGCAUUCUCCAUAAUCUUAAAAAUACUGAAGACCAGUAUGGUGGCGCACAGCUGUAAUCCCGGCACUCAGGAGCUGAGGCAGCAGGAUCACAAGUUCAAACCUAGCCUGGACAAUCUAACAAACACUUGUCUCAAAAUAACAAUAAAAAUAUAAAAGUGCUGAG